AACCCAAUGGAAUUACGAUCUGGCCGACUGUAAUAAUCGAGCCUUUCCCAUUCGUCUUUCUCUGUUAAUUCUGCAGGCAAGUCCGAUAUGAGGUAAGAUAAUUUCUGAAGAGCAUGUUUGACCUGAUAGUACAAUUCUCUUAGCUCAAACUUGAUUCUAGCAUGUGGAUCAUGAGAUUUUGAAAGACGAGAGGGUAAAUUCAAACAUCUAAUUUUGCUAGAAUUAUUUCUUAGACCAUGAUUUUUAACGGCUUCCUCUGUAUUACAGGCAGCUUCGUCAAUUUUGGUGAUUAACUGCUCUAUUGUAUUGCUUUGAUUUGGACCUGCAUUCUUUAGAAUUGACUGGUUAUCCAUAAGCAGUUUAGUUAAAUCCUGGAUUUGCUCACCUAACCCAAU
rnacentral:lncRNA from 1 species